CCUACGGGUGGCUGCAGUGAGGAAUAUUGCGCAAUGGGGGAAACCCUGACGCAGCGACGCCGCGUGAGUGAGGAAGGCCUUCGGGUCGUAAAGCUCUGUCAAGAGGGAAGAAGUGCGUGGUAGCUAAUAUCUGCCAUGUUUGACGGUACCUCUAAAGGAAGCACCGGCUAACUCCGUGCCAGCAGCCGCGGUAAUACGGAGGGUGCAAGCGUUGUUCGGAAUUACUGGGCGUAAAGGGCGCGCAGGCGGCCUGCCAAGUCAGAUGUGAAAUCCCACGGCUUAACUGUGGACGUGCAUUUGAAACUGGCGGGCUUGAGUACCAGAGGGGAAAGUGGAAUUCCCGGUGUAGAGGUGAAAUUCGUAGAUAUCGGGAGGAAUACCGGUGGCGAAGGCGACUUUCUGGCUGGAUACUGACGCUGAGGCGCGAAAGCGUGGGGAGCAAACAGGAUUAGAUACCCUUGUAGUC
rnacentral:rRNA from 1 species